rnacentral:rRNA from 1 species
GAUGAACGCUGGCGGCGUGCCUAAUACAUGCCAGUCGAGCGAACGGACGAGAAGCUUGCUUUUCUGAUGUUAGCGGCGGACGGGUGAGUAACACGUGGAUAACCUACCUAUAAGACUGGGAUAACUUCGGGAAACCGGAGCUAAUACCGGAUAAUAUUUUGAACCGCAUGGUUCAAAAGUGAAAGACGGUCUUGCUGUCACUUAUAGAUGGAUCCGCGCUGCAUUAGCUAGUUGGUAAGGUAACGGCUUACCAAGGCAACGAUGCAUAGCCGACCUGAUAGGGUGAUCGGCCACACUGGAACUGAGACACGGUCCAGACUCCUACGGGAGGCAGCAGUAGGGAAUCUUCCGCAAUGGGCGAAAGCCUGACGGAGCAACGCCGCGUGAGUGAUGAAGGUCUUCGGAUCGUAAAACUCUGUUAUUAGGGAAGAACAUAUGUGUAAGUAACUGUGCACAUCUUGACGGUACCUAAUCAGAAAGCCACGGCUAACUACGUG